AAAACUUUGUCUAAAUGAGUAUUGCCAUUUUCCUUAAUGGUCUUUUAUUUAAUAGGCUUUAUACUAAAUUUAGUUUUGUAAGCAAAGCUAAUAUCUGUAGAUUGUUUCUGAAUAAAAAAAUAGUUUACAAAUUUCAUGCAUUUACAAAAAAAGCCAUGUAAAUGUUUUCAGUUGCAAGAUAUUGGGGUGUGUGUGUGUGUGUGUGUGUGUGUGUGUGUCAUUUUUCCAUGAUUUUCUUCAUAUUUCUUUUCUUUUUUCUUUUGGUGGACCGUAGUUUGUGUGCUUUAAAUUCUCUGUUCCUUUUCUUUAAAAAACUUUCAAGUCAACAGAAAAAUUUAAAAUUCUAAUUAAGGUUCAAAAGACUUUCUUAGCUUAAUUCCUUAAACUGAAUCUGAAGUCUAAGAAUAGUGUUUGCUGAUAUAUGUCAGCAAGCAAAUCAUCUCAUCUCUAUAAAUACAUUUUCCCCCUUCUUGAGGGAUAGAAAUAAUAAUAUAAGUGAGAGAACAGCUUAGGAUACUAUUAUUCAAAUCAUGGCAAAUCCCUCUUUACCUAGAUAAACAUGGAGAAUAUCUAGAUACUAAAUUUAUAAGGACCAGUUUCUGUGAAUCACCUUGGAACACAAUAAAUAAAAAAUUAAUAAUGGCUUAGACUACAGAUAACAGCAGUAGAAAUUGGUAGAGUUGAGAGUUUGGAGGUGAUUUCAUAGAAUUUGCUCAUGUGAAAGAUGAAGAAGAAAGAAAAAGGAUAAUGCUUGUUUUUAUGAUGAGCAGCUGGCUGAGUACAGAAAUUGUUGGAUAAAGGGAGCUGCUUUAUGCAGGGUUAUACUGUGUCCCUGAGGACAGCCUGGCGCCUUUUGCCUCAAUUUAGGACAACUCUGAAGAGUCAUCCCAGGUUUAGAGCUCUCUAAGGAAUUGCAGUUGUGUCACAGUUCAAUUUCCUCUUCUUCCACCCAGUUCUGUUUCCCUUAUUUCUUUUAUCAGUCAUAUUCCCAAGAGCUUUCUCCUGUAUUCCUUACCCUAAUUUUCCAUCUCAGAUUCAGUUACCAGGGAACCUAACCUAAUACAGUGCAGCCAUUUGCAAUGUCAGUUCUCAAAUUAGGAGGUUUUUUUGAAAAUGUUUUUAAUUUUAAAAUUAAUACACUCUUUACAUAUGAAUAAUAUAUUUUGUGAAAAAUAAGUUUUCUAAAAAUAAUAACAGUGGCAUAUGUAUAUUAUAUAAUUUUAGGGAUAUCUUUAAUUACUUCAUGGAAGAUAGCCAGGUUCUCCUAUCUGGAGUUUUUUUGUUUUGUUUUUAGUAUUGGGAAUUUAACCCAAGGGCAGUUUACCAUUGACCUAUAUCCCCAGUCCUUUUUGAGACUGAUUCUCACCAAGUUGCUGAGGCUGGUCUUGAACUUGUGAUCCUCCUGUCUCAGUCUACCUAGCCACUGGGAUUACAGGUGUAUCCCAGUAUACCAAGCUCUUAUCUGCUUCUGUAUUAGUAAUGUCACAUUUACAUAGACUAUGGACCUCCUGUGUAUACAUGAGAGAUUGAGAGUGAAAAAAAAUGAUUCAUAGUAUUACUAUGAAAACAGUUUUUAUAUCAGGGACCCUGAAAAGAGUCUUUAAAUGAAUUAUUUAAAGAAUUUGGAUUUUGACACCUGGCUAAGUGUCUUCAAAAAUGCAAUUUGAGCCAGGCACAAUUUUUUUUAAGUACUGGGGGUGUAGUUAAGUAAUAAAGUACUUACUUAGCAUAUGUGAGUUCGUGGGUUCAAUCCCCAGUACCAAAACCAAACAAAUUCCUCAAAUGUUGUUAACUUUAAAAAGUAUGUAAAGUACCAAAGCAAUGUAUUGGCAUGCUGUUGAUAAUAAUGUAGUCCCAAAGGAAGAGCUUGAGAACCCCAAAGAUAUAAUGGCUAAAGGAAGUAUUAAAUAUGUGGGUAAAUAGAAAUAAACAUUGACAGUGGAGAAGAACAAAAUUGACAUACAGGGUUAAAAAAUGGUAUACUGUAAACCAAUAUUAUGUGAUUUAA
rnacentral:lncRNA from 1 species